GCUUACGGCCAUACCACCCUGAACACGCCCGAUCUCGUCCGAUCUCGGAGCUAAGCAGGGUCGGGCCUGUUAGUACUUGGAUGGGAGACCGCCUGGGAAUACCAGGUGCUGUAAGCU
rnacentral:rRNA from 1 species